rnacentral:lncRNA from 1 species
GGGGGACCUUGCAUAUUUGUUUCCGUGGUUUUGUCCUCUUGUGUUUUGAUUUGAGUGACUUCCUGUAGCCCUGGUGACAGUCAUUCAUGGCUUCCUGUCUUCAUCGGUCCCAUCACACUCCUCUCUGUAAUGUUUUCAUCAAUUCCUCGUGUCUCUUUCUUAAGAAAGCGCAGCUCAUUUCUCAUCUCUGUCUGUUUAUGAUUCUUAGGGAGAACUUCCUUCCGCCCUUGGGCGCGCUGAGGUCCUUGAUUGGCUUGGAGCACUGGCAUUGGGCCAGCUCCUCCCAGCGUCCCCUCUGGAUCCGGUGGAAUUUCUCUGCCACCGGCAGGUUGUUCUUCUGCAUCCGACAGGUGGGAGUGAUGGCUGAGGGCUGUGGCUUGCCAUUUCCCCUGCCCCCAGCCUUGGAGGCAGCACCAUCUCCCGUCUCCGGGGCACCCACUGGCCUGCUCCGGAGAGCUCUCUGGAGCCUGUUAGGAAAAGCAGUGCACCCUCAGAUGCCAGCGCCUCCCCAAAUCCCUUGGUCCGAAAGGCUUCGUGGGCCCCCCAGCUGGUCCUCCCUCCUCCCGGGGCGAUGCUCUGGUCUCCUCAGUGUGAAGGGUCCUUGCAGCAAGAAAGAGAAUCAUCGUGGAGUCUGCCCUGGGCUGCAGCGCCACAGACCCUGGCUCCCUGGGUAAGGCUCCGGGCUCCCCCCGCCCAGGUCACCCCUCCCCAGUGUGGCUGGGACCCGUCCACUCCUCCCAGACAUGACUCUCCUGGACAGCCCAAGGCCACCACUGCCUCCCCUGCCCCUGUAGUCCACUGUCGGCCCAGCAGCCAGCACGGCAGCCCCUCCCCCCACCCAGGUGGCGGUCAGGGCCCCGGGAGGACCCUGAAAAUGGGGUCAGCAAGCACCAGCCAACCAAGGAGGACCUGGAGUUCAUGGUUGUGCAGGAAACUUGAGAAGGCCCUGAG